AAGUAGGUAGUUUAAAAAACGUUUGGUUUCGGCCCAGAAGUUAUCACUGAGUGUUUCUGCUUU
rnacentral:tRNA from 1 species